rnacentral:rRNA from 1 species
CCUACGGGAGGCUGCAGUGGGGAAUAGUGCACAAUGGGGGAAACCCUGAUGCAGCGACGCCGCGUGAGUGAAGAAGUAUCUCGGUACGUAAAGCUCUAUCAGCAGGGAAGAAAAUGACGGUACCUGACUAAGAAGCCCCGGCUAACGACGUGCCAGCAGCCGCGGUAAUACGUAGGGGGAAAGCGUUAUCCGGAUUUACUGGGUGUAAAGGGAGCGUAGACGGCAGCACAAGUCUGGAGUGAAAUCCCGGGGCUUAACCCCGGAACUGCUUUGGAAACUGUGCGGCUGGAGUGCAGGAGGGGUCAGCGUAAUUCCUAGUGUAGCCGUGACAUGCGUAGAUAUUAGGAGGAACACCGGUGGCGAAUGCGGCUUACUGGACUGUACCUGACGUUGCGGCUCGAACGCGUGGGGAGCAAACAGGAUUAGAUACCCCAGUAGUC